CAUGGAUUCGUCAAGAAAGGAUCUCAAGAGGCUUUCUAGACAAUUAAUUUUCCUGAGAUAUCUCCAUCUGUGCUUUCCUGACACAGUCACCCAACAGUCCACUGUGCAUUAAGUUGAGGAACUUCAACAGAAAAAUAUUAGAUGUUUCCAUCUUGAGAAAGAACUGAGACCUUUCAAGACGCAGCUGCACGCCGCGUGCGCUGGGAAGAGGAGGGGAAAGCCUAAAACGGACCUGUCUGAUGCUGCUUUGCUUAUGCCGCUGGAUCGGAGAACAGUAAAGUCACAAAGCAAGAGCACACCCACGGAAAAGUAAAGAGCAAAGUUGGAAAUGGGAGCUGUGAAGGGUUCUCUGAGCUUUGACCCAUGGCCUCUUCCACCCAUCCUAAUCUCUGCCUGUUGAAGAGAUUUCUGUGCUGCCGCAUGAACACAAUCACGUUUUCCUAGCUGAAUUGCAUACACAUUUUCUAAAACACAAUUGUUUUCAGAAAUGAAUCAGAA